AAGCUUGCUUUUGAUGGGCGUCGACCGGCGCACGGGUGAGUAACGCGUAUCCAACCUGCCCAUCACUUGGGGAUAACCUUGCGAAAGUAAGACUAAUACCCAAUGAUAUCUCUAGAAGACAUCUGAAAGAGAUUAAAGAUUUAUCGGUGAUGGAUGGGGAUGCGUCUGAUUAGCUUGUUGGCGGGGUAACGGCCCACCAAGGCAACGAUCAGUAGGGGUUCUGAGAGGAAGGUCCCCCACAUUGGAACUGAGACACGGUCCAAACUCCUACGGGAGGCAGCAGUGAGGAAUAUUGGUCAAUGGACGAGAGUCUGAACCAGCCGAGUAGCGUGCAGGAAGACGGCCCUAUGGGUUGUAAACUGCUUUUAUAAGGGAAUAAAGUUAGUCUCGUGAGACUUUUUGCAUGUACCUUAUGAAUAAGGACCGGCUAAUUCCGUGCCAGCAGCCGCGGUAAUACGUAGGGAGCGAGCGUUGUCCGGAAUUACUGGGUGUAAAGGGAGCGUAGGCGGGAUCUUAAGUCAGGUGUGAAAACUAUGGGCUCAACCCAUAGACUGCACUUGAAACUGAGGUUCUUGAGUGAAGUAGAGGCAGGCGGAAUUUCCUAGUGUAGCGGUGAAAUGCGUAGAUAUUAGGAGGAACAUCAGUGGCGAAGGCGGCCUGCUGGGCUUUUACUGACGCUGAGGCUCGAAAGCGUGGGGAGCAAACAGGAUUAGAUACCCUGGUAGUCCACGCUGUAAACGAUGAUUACUAGGUGUGGGGGGACUGACCCCUUCCGUGCCGCAGUUAACACAAUAAGUAAUCCACCUGGGGAGUACGGCCGCAAGGUUGAAACUCAAAGGAAUUGACGGGGGCCCGCACAAGCAGUGGAGUAUGUGGUUUAAUUCGAAGCAACGCGAAGAACCUUACCAGGUCUUGACAUCGAGUGACGUACUUAGAGAUAAGUAUUUCCUUCGGGACACAAAGACAGGUGGUGCAUGGUUGUCGUCAGCUCGUGUCGUGAGAUGUUGGGUUAAGUCCCGCAACGAGCGCAACCCUUACCAUUAGUUGCUACGCAAGAGCACUCUAAUGGGACUGCCGUUGACAAAACGGAGGAAGGUGGGGAUGACGUCAAAUCAUCAUGCCCCUUAUGACCUGGGCUACACACGUACUACAAUGGCAAUAAAACAGAGGGAAGCAAGACAGCGAUGUGGAGCAAAUCCCCAAAAAUUGUCCCAGUUCAGAUUGCAGGCUGCAACUCGCCUGCAUGAAGUCGGAAUUGCUAGUA
rnacentral:rRNA from 1 species